rnacentral:rRNA from 1 species
AUACGUAGGGGGCGAGCGUUAUCCGGAAUGAUUGGGCGUAAAGGGCGCGUAGGCGGCCCGGUAAGUCUGGAGUGAAAGUCCUGUUUUUAAGAUGGGAAUUGCUUUGGAUACUGUCGGGCUUGAGUGAAGGAGAGGUAAGUGGAAUUCCCAGUGUAGCGGUGAAAUGCGUAGAGAUUGGGAGGAACACCAGUGGCGAAGGCGACUUACUGGACUGUAACUGACGCUGAGGCGCGAAAGUGUGGGGAGCAAACAGGAUUAGAUACCCUGGUAGUCCACACUGUAAACGAUGAAUGCUAGGUGUAGGGGGUAUCGACCCCUUCUGUGCCGCAGUCAACACAAUAAGCAUUCCGCCUGGGGAGUACGGCCGCAAGGUUGAAACUCAAAUGAAUUGGCGGGG